rnacentral:rRNA from 1 species
AUUGAACGCUGGCGGCAGGCCUAACACAUGCAAGUCGAACGAGUGGCGGACGGGUGCGUAAUGUCUGGGAAACUGCCUGAUGGAGGGGGAUAACUACUGGAAACGGUAGCUAAUACCGCAUACCAUCGGAGGUGCCCAGAUGGGAUUUGCUAGUAGGUGGGGGAAAGGCUCACCUAGGCGACGAUCCCUAGCUGGUAUGAGAGGAUGACAAGCCACACUGGAACUGAGCCACUGUCCAGACUCCUACGGGAGGCAGCAGUGGGGAAUAUUGCACAAUGGGCGCAAGCCUGAUUCAGCCAUGCCGCGUGUAUGAAGAAGGCCUUCGGGUUGUAAAGUACUUUCAGCGGGGAGGCGUUACCCGCAGAAGAAGCACCGGCUAACUCCGGGCCAACAGCCGCGGUAAUUC